rnacentral:lncRNA from 1 species
AUCCAGAAAGUAAAAAAUACAUCACACAUUUGAGCAAGCACGUCUCUGGCAUCAAAUGCGUGCGUUGGCAUAUCUUGUUUUCGCUGAAAACGUCUCAGUUUCAGCUUCUGCGUAAGAAACUUGCUGAGCAGCUAAAGUUGAUAUGAUGUUUGUGCCAGGUAGGUAACACCUUUGCUUUUGAAUCAUUGACAGGAGCAGUGCGACGGUCGUUGCUUGAGAGAAGCUGGCUAUGAUGCUGCACGGCCCCUGCAUGCAAACAUAUGCACGCACUGCACUCUCCCAUAGCUACUUUUGACAGCCUGCAGGCCAUUGCUCAGUUCACUAUUCAAAGCCUGAAUCGACGAUGGAUGGCGUCAGGUGCACUCUAAUUUACCCUAUAUUAUCUGGACCACUGUCUUUCUGGGAAAGUGCCUUUCAAAAUUUUAUGAUGCUUCUACUUUGUGCCACGGUUCCGAAAGAUCGUCGGCAAGGCAAAGCCGGCCAGUACUACUAUAUGUAUGCCGUGCUCUCUGAAGAUUCUCAGAGAGAACGAAAUAGAACUAAAAAUAACGCAGCAGCACUGCAUGGCGCAAAAGCAUUGCUUUGUACUAACACGGCUGGCAUACACCCUGUGCUUUUCUUUGCGGAGCAUUUGUCUAAUCUACUCCAUCAUGCCGUAUUGCUCUUCUUUCACGCUCAUAAGAUAUUCAAACUGGAAUCGCACUUCUUAUCAAAAUGUAAGAUCUUUUUUUAGGCUAGUUUAGCCGACAAAAACGUCUUAUAUUUUGGUACGGAUGUGGUAGUAUAUACUGAGACAUUCUUGUUCCUUUUUGAACCGAGACAUCCAUGAUUAGAGUCUCGGCGGCAGUGGGCCCGCAGGGACGGCGGGUGGACUAUUUGUGAGUGUGUGACGAUGAUUAAAAGCGACUUGUAGAGCGAAUGGGUUCUAAACUAUAUUUCCAAAAGAACACCUUCCAGAUUCUCAAGAGAGAAAAAAAAUCACAUUUUCUAUGUUCUAGGAGAAGAAAAAGCUAAUCAUCGUGUUUGCUGUGGAUAGAGAUGAUCAAAGAAUGUGUAGGAAGCUGUUCGUUCAUAAUCAUACCUCAGCUGGAAGUUCUCUGGCCAGGAAGCUGAACGCCUCCCCCCACACGGGAUUUCUUUGGCUAGGCACCAUGGGACUGCACGCACAAACACAGUAUGAACUCUAUGAACACCUCGCUUGAAUUGCAAAGCAACAUUGUACUCACUCCGUCCGAAAAUAAGUGUCUCAACUAGGAAUAAAAAUGUAAGAAGAGGAGGGAUUGUUAUUACGCACCUGAAGCGCUUCUGCCCGCCGAGGGAGAUGACGGCGUAGGGUUCGGCGGUCCCGUUCAGGUUGGCGCCGAUCAGGUACUUGGCAGACACCAGCUCCAGCUGACGCAGCAACACAUAAGCGGAGUAAGAACAGGCGCCGUUUCUCUCUUCUCUGCUAGCCAGGUGCUAGCUGUGUAGUAGCAGUACGUUGGAACUUGGAUAAAAGUGUACCUUGAUCACGUACGCGGUGGUGCUCCGAGAGCGAGAGCUGUCAGCCACAAGAGUGAUCUGCAGGGUUCAUCAGGGAAAAUAAGCUGUGUUACCAUUUGAGGGGGGAAUGCAGAUCUUGGUAUGCACACGCCGUGUACACAUGAUCGAUUGAUCUCACCUCGUCGCCGGCGCAUCCUGGUUCAGCGGCCGCCCUGCUUCCCUUUGCGCUGCCCCGCCUCCGCCCCCCUCGGUCUCGGUCAUAGCUCUUAGUCGUGGGAGAGGAGGGGGAGGUGGCGGACGCGGUCUCCUCGAGGAUGAGGAGCAGCGCGACGGCGGCGGCGAGAAGUGCCACGGCGGAGAUGGCCACCUCCGCCUCCCACAGCGACGGCAGGAGGGAUCUCAGCAACCACGAGCAGUGCGCGCCCAUGGCCAUGCUCACCGUCUCUUUGCUGUGACCUGUGAGGGAAGCAAAGAUCGGUUAGCGGGGCAUAUAAAGUGCAACCAACCGUCGCCGUGGGUUUGGCUCCGAGGUGCAUCCAGUGAGUCUCCCACAAUGCGCCUGUCACGUCACGGUCUCACGGAGGAUUUUACGGAUACCUCGCCGCGCGUCAACCUCCGAAACAAAAUUGGUUGUUUGAAACAUCAUGUAACUGGCUCCCGCAAUCGGACAGAGAUCAGGUGACAUGCACCUUUGCAUGUCACCGUGUGCCUUGCGGCCCGAAUUCAAAUUUAAACAUUGCGAAAAAAUCUAAAAAAAAACAUGCAUAUUCACAGCACAUAUUUAGAUAACCCUUAAAAAAAUUCAGAUCAAAACUCGAAACAUACAUCGAGAAGCAAAAAAGAGAAACUCAGAUGUGAAUAGUAUACAGAGAACCAUUCACAACUAUUCAUGACAGAUUUCUCUUUUUUGCUUCUCGGUGUAUGUUUCAAAUUUUGAUCUGAAUUUUUUAGGGGUUAUCAUAAUAUGUGAUGUGAACAUGCAUGAUUUUUUUCAGAUUUUUUCGUAAUGUUUAAAUUUGAAUUCAGGCCGCAAGGCACACGGUGACAUGCAAAGGUGCAUGUCACCUGAUCUCUGUCCCCCGCAAUCACAUGGGUGCAAAGUACUUCUCUUGGGGUUGGGAUCCUCUGCAGUAUUGUAUGGUGCUGUAGUGAGGAUGACAUGUGGGGCCGGGUCCACAUGCCAGUGACUGUACUGUACCAUACAGUACUGCAGAGGAUCCCAACCCUUCUCUCAGAGACUGAGGACGUUUACCUUUCUUUACUUUUGGCCGGAUUAUGAAUCAAUAAGAUCAAAACUUUCUUUACUUUUGGCCGGGUUAUGAAUCAAUUAGAUCGAUCGCCUCGCGUGAGACAUCCGUCUGAUCUCCCACCACGUCAGCCGCAACCUUUACAACAACUAGAUGAUGCCCCGCACGUUGUUGUGGGAAUAUUUUGCAAUAUUUCAAUGGGGUUUUUGGUUACACGAAACAUCAGUAUUUGAAAUAAUAGUUUUUGAAAGUAUAUAAAAAUUUGAUGUAAAUAGUAUAAUAGAAUGGAAUUUUACAUGCAUACAUGGUUGCAUGUUGAAGUAAAUUUUUAAUAUACAUAGUUGUAUGUUUAGGUGUGCCUUUUCCUAUGCAUGUUGAAUGAUGAGGUGGCAUGCUUGCAUGUUGAAAGAAAUAUGUUAGUGGGGGCUAACUAUUUAGAUAUAGAAGAUGACCGUGUUGUGCUCGGUUGUUUUGCAACACAGACCUUGUUACGUUUGUGCGUAUACAUGACGUGUGCUUUGGUCAUCCAUUGCAACAUGGAACAGUUUCAUGGUGCGACUAGCAGCUUGAAUGACAUGGGCCUUUGAUCCCCCAUUGCGACAUAAACCAUAGCUCCACCUCUUACAACACAACUCAUGUUGCAGCAUCGGCAGCGAGCCCCCACGCUCCUCUGCACCAUCCGGCCAUGGACGACAUGGAGGAUGAGGAGGUGGGUGGACUUGUGCAUGGGAGGCGACCAUGCUUGUGCUCAAUUGAUGACCAGUGUGAACGCUGGCAGCCGCAAGGGAUGUCAGCGAUAUAUUGGGGGGGAGGGGGGGAAGAGGAUCAAAGAUUAGAUGGAUGGAGGAGACGGACGGCGACGACUGGAGGAACACCAACAUCCGCGAGGGCCGCCGCAGCGAUAGAUGCGGAAAAGAAGCAUGGGGAUGAGUUAGUAUGGAGUUGACUCGCACACUACAUCUCACACAAAAACGAUAAGCGGUGCGUUGGACAGCAAGGGGCGCGCGUCACACGCGCGAGGUGGUGGAUGCGCCCAUGUUAUCAGUCGGCUGACUGUAAGUUUUUUCCUUCUUUUUAUGGAUGGGAGAUAAGGUUCAUUUCUUGAAAAGAUUGAUCGGAACUAGGUAGAGUGGUUCUUUCCCGAAAGAACGGAUACAAAGCAGAACUUAGAUGCACUGCACACACACCAUCAAUCACACACGCGCACACACGCACACACGCAUACCAUGCCAACUGAAGACCGGACUCGUACAGCUUCAGAACUGAAACUUCUGCUAUCUCGCUAUCAACAAAAAUGCCUACCCCAUUGUAGAUGAUCUUUCUACCGAGCAAUUCUAAAAACGGAAACCACUUUACUCCCAUGAGCUAGCUAUGUUUUUUCUUUAAUAAUAGAAACUUUAUUGAUACUUAUUAUGUGCUUGCACAUUUCCAUUUGCUAGAAUUAUUCUAGUGAGCCCUCCUAUGGUGAACAAAAAGAUGAACCCUACAACAAAUAACAUGGGUGUUUUGUAUGGUAUCGAACCUCCCCACAUGGUAGCGAUCCAAUUAAAGAUUUUGAUUCCCGUGGGCACAACUAUGAUCAUGGUAGCUGGGAUGAAGUAGGCAUGUAUAUCAACGUCUAAGCUCACAGUAAACAUAUGAUGAGCCCAAACUAGAGUUCACCUCUAGUGUAGCCAUGGUUGGUUAUCAUGCUAGAACACAAUAUGCAUCACAAUAUGUGGAUUGGCUAAAUAAUUUAUAUGUUGUACACUUUUCUUAUUUUUAGCUACCUCACCCCACAUGUCACGUUAAUUUUAUUUUGAUUUAUUGAAGAAUGCACUGUGGAAUUUCGUUAAUGUUCUCUUCCAAAAGGAAAAUUGACGAUCUUCCUUGGGCAAACUUUCACCAUAUUCAAUUCCUCCGGCUUUGCCAAUGCCCUGGCAUCACCAUUUACUCAUUUUAGAAACAAAAAAGGCUUUCCUUCUUUGGUGCUUACAUCUUGUACUUGUAACACAGAAAUCUAUAUAUGUACAUGCCGUUUGACUUAGAUGAUUAGACCUGGACAAUGGGAAAACAAUUAUAAGUUGCAAAAAUAUUUAGCUUAGAAUGAAGUAUAAGGCAUAGAGCUACAUGUCCACGACUUAAUUUUUUUUUGAACAUUGUCCACGACUUAUUUGGUAUACAUUACGUUGCUUGUAAAUAGACGACCUCCUACAAAGCGUCCGUUCACACUUUUCUAACUUUUCUCUUAAUACGUGAUGAAGGGGUCACAUACCUCAUGUAUGAAAAAGUUCAAAUUGGUCAGGUGACAAUACUAUGAUUUUCCUUCUGAUGUUGUAAGUUUAUAAAAGAAUAAUAUCCUGUUAGUGGAAGCACUAGUCUUGAGAGAUGGCAAAAUAAGAUCUGUCAUUUGAGACAAUUUUUGCGAGAUUGGGCCAGAAAUGAAAGUGAGCUUUACAAACAAGAAAAAGAGCGAUUUACUCGUCUGAUCGAAGCUUUAGAUUUAAAAGCUGAAACUAACUUGCUUACGGUGAAUGAGCAAAGUUCCAAGUCCGAAGCUGAGCAAGGCCUACGAGCUCUUCUUAGAGAGGAGUUCAAAUGGGCAAUGCGUGCCAAAGUGCUUAAGGUUGUCCAAGGGGAUGACAAUACACAAUUUUUCAUAUAAUUGCGAAUGACAAACAUAGGAAGAAGAAAAUCAUUCAGCUUGAACAAGACGAGUGGACAAUUUUGGGGCAUGAGAAUCUGAAAGCUUAUAUCUCCAACUACUAUAAACAACUGUUUGUCCAUCCGGAAGCAAGUACGGUGGCCCUAGACGAAACUUUAAUUGGAGAUAUUCCUCAACUCCAGGUAGAAGAGAACGAUAUUUUAGCUGCACCGUUUACUGAGAAGGAGAUUCUGAACGCAAUCUCACAAAUGAAAUCGAAUAAAGCACCGGGACUAGACGGGUUUCCAGCUGAAUUCUAUAAGAAAUGUUGGCAUAUUAUUAAAGAUGAUCUUAUGCCUAUGUUUCAUGAUUUCUUUAACGGUCAUUUAGAGUUGUUUCAUCUUAACUUUGGUAUGAUCACGCUAUUGCCAAAGAAAGAUGAGGCAGUACGGAUUGAACAGUUCAGGCCAAUUUGUCUUCUUAACGUGAGUUUCAAAAUCUUCACAAAGGUGGGGACCAAUAGAUUGACACAGAUCGCGCAUUCAGUGGUACAACCGAGCCAAACAACGUUCAUGCCAGGGCGACAUAUACUUGAAGGGGUGGUCGUUUUGCAUGAAACGUUACAUGAAAUCCAUUCGAAGAAGCUUGAUGGGGUUAUAUUCAAAGUGGAUUUCGAGUAGGCGUAUGAUAAAGUAAAGUGGCCCUUCCUACAGCAGGCAAUGCGCAUGAAAGGAUUUAGCGAGGUCUGGCGGAACCAAGUGGGUUCUCUAGUCCAGAAGGGUAGUGUCAGAAUCAAGGUUAACAAUGAUAUCGGUCAUUAUUUUCAGACACACAAGGGUUUGAGACAAGGAGAUUUCAUGUCUCCUCUCUUGUUUAAUAUAGUGGCCGAUAUGUUGGCCAUUCUCAUCGGCGGGGCCAAACGGCAUGGGCAAGUGGAGGGGUUAGUUCCUCAUCUAGUUGAUGGAGGAGUAUUCAUUCUAUAGUAUGCUGACGACACUAUCUUAUUCAUGGAACACGACAUUGCUAAGGCGCGUAAUAUGAAACUUAUAUUAUGCCUCCUCGAACAAUUGUCUGGUUUAAAGAUAAGCUUUGACAAAAGUGAGUUGUUCUGCUUUGGGAGGGCCAAAGACGAACAAGACACAUAUAAACAAUUGUUUGGAUGUGAAUUGGGCUCUUUACCUUUUAGUUAUUUGGGCAUACCGAUCCACCACCGUAAGUCAUCUAAUAAAGAAUGAAAAUGUAUCAAAGAUCGAAUAGAAAAAAAGUUGAGCUGCUAGAAGGGUAAGCUUAUGUCUUAUGGAGGUCGGCUAGUGCUGAUUAACUCAGCACUGACUAGUAUGCCGAUGUUCCUACUAUCAUUCUUCGAGAUUCCAAAAGAGGUACGGAAACGACUUGAUUUCUUCAGAUCUCGAUUCUUCUGGCAGUCAGAUGAGGCCAAGAGGAAAUACCGUAUCGCGCAAUGGGACAUUCUUUGUCGACCAAAAGACCAGGGCGGUCUCGAUAUUGAGAACUUAGAAAUCAAGAACAAAUGCCUUAUGAGCAAAUGGCUCUACCGGUUAGAGACUGAGCCGGAGGGUAUGUGGGCACAGAUUUUGCGUAAUAAGUAUCUACAGUCGAAAACACUCGCUCAGGUUACCAUGAGACCAAUCGACUCGCCAUUCUAGAAAGGGCUUAUGAGAGUGAAGGACUUGUUCUUUCCUAGGGUCAAAUUCCUAGUUGGCAAUGGGAUGUCAACAAGGUUUGGAAAGGAUACGUGGUUAGGAGAGACGCCCCUGGCCGUACAAUAUCCCACCUUCUAUAACAUUGUGUAACGUAAGGAGGAUUACAUAGGCACAGUUCUACAUACGAGCCCAUUGAAUAUCCAGUUCAGACAUGCGUUAGUUGGUGAGCAUUGGACUGCAUGGAUGCACUUGGUUCGGAGAUUGAUAGAUGUUCACCUCUCCGACCAACCAGAUUCGACGCAAUGGAAACUAGCUAAGAAUGGGGGUUUUACAGUAAAAUCUUUCUAUUUGGAUUUGGUUAAUUCUGGCCCAAUCUCGAGAUCGUUGCAUAUUUGGAAGAUUAAGGUUCCUUUGCGCAUUAAAAUCUUUAUGUGGUUUGUCCACAAACAAGUGAUUCUUACAAAGGACAACUUAAUCAAGAGGAGAUGGGUAGGCGGUCCAUGAUGUUGCUUUUGUGAUCAUGAUGAAACAAUACAACAUUUAUUUCUUGAAUGCCCACUCGCCAAAUUACUUUGGGGAACGAUUCAUAUAGCCUUUAACAUUAUUCCUCUAGUUGACAUUACAUCGUUGUUUGGAACAUGGUUAACUGGGGUUGAACAUACUACGGCGGCUCAUAUUCGGAUUGAAAUAUAUGCGCUUUUGUGGGCUAUAUGGAAUUGCAGGAAUGAUUUGAUAUUUAACAGACAACACAAAACUUUCUUGCAGAUCAUCUUCAAAGCUACUGCUUGGAUCCGUACGUGGUCCUUACUCACUCCUAUGGAAUCCAGGGAGCCUUUGAUUACUGGGUGCAACCAGAAGAUGGUAGCACGAGUUUUAUUCAACCGGUUCGGAUGACGGUCGCAUAAUAUGAUAAGAUUCUAGCGAGCUUAUCCUUCCUUUUGCCAUUCCGGUUGUGAUUGUCGGCAUGAACUAUGUUUUUUAUUUUCGCUUCAUUUGUGAGCUGUAAUACGUUGACGACUUUGUGCUUUUUUGCGAACUUUUAAUAAAAUGGCUGCAUGCAUCAUUAUGAUGCAGAGGCCGGGGUACACUUUCAU